AUUGAACGCUGGCGGCAGGCUUAACACAUGCACGUCGAGCGAGUGGCGGACGGGUGAGUAAUGUCUGGGAAACUGCCUGAUGGAGGGUGAUAACUACUGGAAACGGUAGCUAAUACCGCAUACCAUCAGAUUUGCCCAGAUGGGAUUAGCUAGUAGGGGGGUUAAUGGCUCACCUAGGCGACGAUCCCUAGCUGGUCCUAGAGGAUGACCAGCCACACUGGAACUGAGACACGGUCCAGACUCCUACGGAAGGCAGCAGUGGGGAAUAUUGCACAAUGGGCGCAAGCCGGAUGCAGCCAUGCCGCGUGUGGGAAGAAGGCCUUCGGGUUGUAAAGCACUUUAAGCGAGGAGGCGUUAAUCGCAGAAGAAGCACCGGCUAACUCCGUGCCAGCAGCCGCGGUAAUUC
rnacentral:rRNA from 1 species